CUCAGACACGUUGUUUCCCAACAUUUUACGUGUGAUAUAAAUUAGCUUAUAACUGUCGGGAUUAGAACCCAGGUCUCAGCCAACGUCAUCUCCAUUAGACCAAGAGGGGCAUCACUAAUUUCGAAGUCGCAGGCAAGGCUACCUCAUCACAUGACCAUGAGCAACCAUGACCGACUCAUGUCACAUGUGCAUUUUCACAUUUUAAAGUCAAUUUGGGCUGUCAAACAAUUCAAUAAUGUAAUCGUGUAAUAUCGCAGGAUUGAGCUGUAAUUUCAUUUUUUUUAUAUACAAAAAGCAUUACAAGAAUAUUGACGUCUUGGUUUUGUCCAAAGUAACGAUUAGCAAAAUCAGGAUAAAUAAGGAGACACGGAGCGUUAGCUUCUCUGUUCUUUUCACUGGGCUUCUUCCAACGGUCACUAACGAACAUAUGAAGAGAGGCGUGCACCUGCAGCAGUAACAUUCCGAAUGGAUGGCUCAUCAUUUUUAAUUGAGUUGAAUUAUUACACUCAGGGUGUGGGCUUGACAGAGGGUCAGUGAAGACUGGCAGAAGAGAGAAUAAUCUGUCCAUACAAGAUGGAAAUGGAGAGAAGAGCAAGAUACAUCUUUAGUGAGCCAUGGAGACUUUCCAUGUGUCUCUCACUCUGCUUUUCAGCAUUGUGUUGUUGUUGAUUUGUGGUAGGCCUACUAUGAGUUAGUACAUACUGUAGUACUGACAUAGACAGCACAUUUAUUGUGAUAGAACAUUAUUACUGCAUUUGAAAUAGUAUUAUUAUUAGGCUAUGUUGCCAGUUUGAGCCCAAGUAACCACACAUUUGGCACUAUAUGUUGUCCAUUCAUUUGUUGAAGGAUAGUGUUGUUGAGAAUUAUUGAGAAUUCUAAAUCCCUUACCUAAAUUCAAGAGUGAAUUUCUGAAUAAAUAUGUGAUCAUUUCAACUGUCUAGCACCUCAACAAGAAGAUCUGACAUCUCAAAUGAGCUUCAGAAACAGCUCAUCAAGGCUACAUUUAUGCAUGCUUUACAAGGCAUCAGGAAAAGUACAUCUCUUUCAUCCCUUGUGAGCAUAGGUUUGAAAUCCACUACAAAGAGAUCAACACUAAGAUUUUUUGAGUUGAAAGUUGAAAGGAAACCCGACUUGUUUUUAACUGUCAUACGUUUUUAAGAAAUAAAGCAAGAAUUUCAAUGUAACUAAA